rnacentral:rRNA from 1 species
CACAAGCAGCGGAGCGUGUGGUUUAAUUCGAGGCUACACGAAGAACCUUACCAGGGUUUGACAUGCAAGUGGUAGGAAUCCGAAAGGUGACCGACCUUCGGGAGCUUGCACAGGUGCUGCAUGGCUGUCGUCAGCUCGUGUCGUGAGAUGUUCGGCUAAGUCCGCUAACGAGCGCAACCCUCGUCGUGUGUUAUACGUGUCACACGAUACUGCCGGUAUCAAGCCGGAGGAAGGUGGGGAUGAUGUCAAGUCAGCAUGGCCUUUAUAUCCUGGGCUACACACACGCUACAAUGGCAGAUACAAUAGGUUGCGAAACCGCGAGGUGGAGCCAAUCCUCAAAGUCUGUCUCAGUUCAGAUUGUAGGCUGCAACUCGCCUGCAUGAAGUUGGAGUUGCUAGUAAACGCAGGUCAGCUAUACUGCGUUGAAUACGUUCCCGGGUUU